GAGUUUGAUUCUGGCUCAGGAUGAACGCUAGCGGGAGGCCUAACACAUGCAAGCCGAGCGGGAUUUGUUGGUUAGCUUGCUAACUAAUAAUGAGAGCGGCGUACGGGUGCGUAACACGUGUGCAACCUGCCUUUAUCUGGGGGAUAGCCUUUCGAAAGGAAGAUUAAUACCCCAUAAUAUAUUAAUUGGCAUCAAUUGAUAUUGAAAGCUCCGGCGGAUAGAGAUGGGCACGCGUAAGAUUAGCUAGUUGGUGAGGUAACGGCUCACCAAGGCUGCGAUCUUUAGGGGGCCUGAGAGGGUGAUCCCCCACACUGGUACUGAGACACGGACCAGACUCCUACGGGAGGCAGCAGUGAGGAAUAUUGGACAAUGGGUGAGAGCCUGAUCCAGCCAUCCCGCGUGAAGGACUAAGGACCUAUGGUUUGUAAACUUCUUUUAUACAGGGAUAAACCUACUCUCGUGAGG
rnacentral:rRNA from 1 species